rnacentral:piRNA from 1 species
UUUUCUGCAGCAGCCAUUCGAU